rnacentral:rRNA from 1 species
AUUGAACGCUGGCGGCAUGCUUUACACAUGCAAGUCGGACGGCAGCGGGGUAGUGCUUGCACUACUGCCGGCGAGUGGCGAACGGGUGAGUAAUAUAUUGGAACGUACCGAGUAAUGGGGGAUAACCAAUCGAAAGAUUGGCUAAUACCGCAUACGCUCUGAGGAGGAAAGCAGGGGACCUUCGGGCCUUGCGUUAUUCGAGCGGCCAAUAUCUGAUUAGCUAGUUGGUGGGGUAAGGGCCUACCAAGGCGACGAUCAGUAGCGGGUCUGAGAGGAUGAUCCGCCACACUGGGACUGAGACACGGCCCAGACUCCUGCGGGAGGCAGCAGUGGGGAAUUUUGGACAAUGGGCGCAAGCCUGAUCCAGCCAUGCCGCGUGUCUGAAGAAGGCCUUCGGGUUGUAAAGGACUUUUGUUAGGGAAGAAAAAGGAGCGGUUAAUACCCGUUUCUGCUGACGGUACCUAAAGAAUAAGCACCGGCUAACUACGUG